CUGGUCUUUUUCUUCCCUUCUCCUCUCUCACGUUUCUUCAAUUUCUCCAUGGGAGUUUUCUUCAAGCUUCCAUAACUUUCUCUCUCUAGCUUCAAUUUUCAUGCUUUUGGUGCACCCUUCCAUAAACCCUUGUGCUCUUUCAUCCUCUCACUUUAAAACCCUUGAUAAAUCUCAUUUCUGUACUUUGUCUCACUAGCUGGACGUUUUAGAGAGAGAAAGAGAAAAUUACACCAUUUAUUUGGAAACUAUUAAAAGAGAAUUUGACUACAAAGGAGCCCUAGGGUAAGUGAUGAACUAAGCUCGAUUUUUAGCUGCAGAAAAUGGGUAGUAAUUGGGAUUUAUGAGCUAUUUUAUUGUUGAGUAUGUUCAUUACUUUUAGUGAUUUAGAUAGUGAACGUAGAUGGCCAUUUAAUGUGGCAAGUGAAAGCUAGCUAAGAGAUAGCUUUUUGGGUUCAUAGUGUGUGAAUUGACCUAUUGCUUAUGCUAAUGUGAUCCUAGGUUCUAAGGAAGCCUCAUCAUCCCAUUUGGACAAUUAGGGGAAUUGGAGUCAUCUAAAGGCUCUACAAUCAAUUGGUGAGUGGACUUGCAUUUCAAACUUGUUUUGGGAGUAUGAAUGAUUUUAUCCAACUUGUUUUUUUUUUUAAAUUUAUCUUGGGAACAAGCCUUUGGUGAAGUGAUUUUAUAUUGUGAAAUUGUGAUAUACAAUGGAUUAUGUGUUAUCAAAAUAUGAUAAUAUGCAUGAUAUGCAUUGGGUGCUUAUUCGUAUGUUGAUGUGGACCCGGUUAUGUGCGAGUAGGAGUGCACAUAAGCCGCUGCUGACCUGGCUAUGUGCGAGUGGGAGUGCGCAUAAGCCUUUGCAUAUGAGAUGAUGAUGAUGGGAGAGUGUAUAUGAUGAUUGAUAUCUAUAUAUAUAUACAUAUAUGGUAUAUGGUUGUAAAUGCAAAAAUGUGAACAUUUGCUUUGUUGAAAUUUGGGAGUUUGCAUGUGCUGUAUGUUUAUUUUGUUGGUUUAGCAGGAUGGUCUUUUUGUUGAGUGAGGGGAAACUUUUCUCUUGUUGCUCUAUUUUCGUUGCAGCGAAAUUCAUUCUCGCUGCAGCGAGAAACUCUCGGGUUUGAGAACUUUCACCAGAACUGGUUCUCACUACAGCGAAAAAGAAAUCUCGCUGCAGCGAAAAACUCUCUGUUUCAUCAGUGAAAUUUUGCUGCAGCGAGAAACCUUCUGUUUCUGGGUUACAAUUUUGCUGCAGCGAGAUUCAAUCUCGCUGCAGCGAAAAACCUUAUGUUUUGGUCUCCUAUCUUGUCCAAUUGCUGCCCUAUCUUUCACUUUUUUACUACCAUAUCAGAGCAUGGACUUCCUACGUUAAGGAUUAAAUGAGUUAAGUUUAAAAUGAAGAGGUUUAGUGGGAAACCCUCGGCCAGUUGAGAAACCCUCGUUCAGCUAAUAACUAAAUCCCAACGUCGUUGCAACGAAAAUUCGUUGUCGUAUUUGACUUGCUUGUGUAAUAUUGAAGCUUUCAUUCUUCAAAUGGUUCGUUAUGUAUGGGUUCAUGAUUUUCAAAGGAUUAAUCAUUUAAGGGCUUGAUGAGGGGUUUUUAAUAAGAAUAGAAACAAAUUGCAUUGUUUUGAAAAAGAAUGCAUCAUGAUUUCGUUAAAGAUUCCUUAUGGUAUGCUUGUUCCUUUUCUUGUUCACUCACUAGGUUUAUACUCACCGUUUUCAACUUCAUGUUUUCAGAUCACGAAGUAGCAGCUAACUAGGAUGAGGUGUCCUUGCAGACUUAUAUCCAUCUUUUGUUAGGUGUCUCGGCAUUCAGUAGCAGUACAUUCGUCCGAGUCCCUCCGCUGAAAAUCGAGUCUUCUUUUUGAGAUGUAUAGACAAACUUGAUGUAAAUUAUUAAGAUACAUGUUGUAGGCAAUGUACAUUUAAUU
rnacentral:lncRNA from 1 species